UAGAGCAUCAACAACAAAAGCAGCAAGUCUAACAUUAUGUAAAUUACUUUAGGGUUGUAUAGAGCAUCAACCACAACAACAAAAGCAGCAAGUCUAACAUUAUGUAAAUUACUUUAGGGUUGUAUAGAGCAUCAACCACAACAACAAAAGCAGCAAGUCUAACAUUAUGUAAAUUACUUUAGGGUUGUAUAGAGCAUCAACCACAACAACAAAAGCAGCAAGUCUAACAUUAUGUAAAUUACUUUAGGAUUGUAUAGAGCAUCAACCACAACAACAAAAGCAGCAAGUCUAACAUUAUGUAAAUUACUUUAGGGUUGUAUAGAGCAUCAACCACAACAACAAAAGCAGCAAGUCUAACAUUAUGUAAAUGACUUUAGGGUUGUAUAGAGCAUCAACCACAACAACAAAAGCAGCAAGUCUAACAUUAUGUAAAUUACUUUAGAAUUGUAUAGAGCAUCAACCACAACAACAAAAGCAGCAAGUCUAACAUUAUGUAAAUUACUUUAGAAUUGUAUAGAGCAUCAACCACAACAACAAAAGCAGCAAGUCUAACAUUAUGUAAAUUACUUUAGAAUUGUAUAGAGCAUCAACCACAACAACAAAAGCAGCAAGUCUAACAUUAUGUAAAUUACUUUAGGGUUGUAUAGAGCAUCAACCACAACAACAAAAGCAGCAAGUCUAACAUUAUGUAAAUUACUUUAGAAUUGUAUAGAGCAUCAACCACAAUAACAAAAGCAGCAAGUCUAACAUUAUGUAAAUGACUUUAGGGUUGUAUAGAGCAUCAACCACAACAACAAAAGCAGCAAGUCUAACAUUAUGUAAAUUACUUUAGGGUUGUAUAGAGCAUCAACCACAACAACAAAAGCAGCAAGUCUAACAUUAUGUAAAUGACUUUAGGAUUGUAUAGAGCAUCAACCACAACAACAAAAGCAGCAAGUCUAACAUUAUGUAAAUGACUUUAGGGUUGUAUAGAGCAUCAACCACAACAACAAAAGCAGCAAGUCUAACAUUAUGUAAAUUACUUUAGGGUUGUAUAGAGCAUCAACCACAACAACAAAAGCAGCAAGUCUAACAUUAUGU